rnacentral:rRNA from 1 species
UACAGAGGUGCCGAGCGUUAGGCGGAAUCACUGGGCUUAAAGCGCGCGUAGGCGGGCGUCUAAGUGUCUUGUGAAAUCCCACGGCUCAACCGUGGAACUGUUGGGCAUACUGGACGCCUUGAGGCACGCAGGGGCGAGCGGAACAAGUGGUGGAGCGGUGAAAUGCGUAGAUAUCACUUGGAACGCCGACGGUGAAAACAGCUCGCUGGGCGUGUUCUGACGCUGAGGCGCGAAAGCCAGGGGAGCGAACGGG